AAGGGAGACCUAAUUCAGGUAUGGGACGAAAAAAAAGUAGUCGCUACCAAGAAUCAAUCCCAAAAGGUCGGAGCGAGGUAUGAGGCUUUCAAACUAGGUUCUGGGUUCGAACAAGACCUGAAUCAGGAACAAGGGCUAUUAGCUCAGGUGGUUAGAGCGCACCCCUGAUAAGGGUGAGGUCCCUGGUUCGAGUCCAGGAUGGCCCACCUGCACAGGUGGCAAAAACAAGAGAAGCGAGGAAUCAGCACCUUAUCUUAUCUAUAUAUAAGAGAGAAUGCUGGCUCUGAGUAAAGAGUCCAGAGGAACCUUGAAAACUGCAUAGAGCUAGGUGAAAAAGCCAAAAAAGAAGACCGCAA
rnacentral:tRNA from 1 species